AUUGAACGCUGGCGGCAGGCUUAACACAUGCAAGUCGAGCGGAGCGAAGGUGCUUGCACCUUAGCUUAGCGGCGGACGGGUGAGUAAUGCUUAGGAAUCUGCCUAUUAGUGGGGGACAACGUUUCGAAAGGAACGCUAAUACCGCAUACGUCCUACGGGAGAAAGCAGGGGGUCUUCGGACCUUGUGCUAAUAGAUGAGCCUAAGUCGGAUUAGCUAGUUGGUGGGGUAAAGGCCUACCAAGGCGACGAUCUGUAGCGGGUCUGAGAGGAUGAUCCGCCACAAUGGGACUGAAACACGGACCAGACUCCUACGGGAGGGAGCAGUGGGGAAUAUUGGACAAUGGGCGAAAGCCUGAUCCAGCCAUGCCGCGUGUGUGAAGAAGGCCUUUUGGUUGUAAAGCACUUUAAGCGAGGAGGAGGAGCUUCAGGUUAAUACCCUGGAUGCUUGGACGUUACUCGCAGAAUAAGCACCGGCUAACUCUGUGCCAGCAGCCGCAGUAA
rnacentral:rRNA from 1 species